UCUCUCUCUCUCAUCCCUAAAAAAAACUCUCUCACAAACUCACCUGCUCCUCUCCCCGUGAUCUCCUCGCCGCCGCCACCACCCACCCACGAUCUCCCCCAAGCUCCCACCUUCCUCCGCUCUAAUCCCCAUGGAAGCCACCGCCGCCGCCUCCCUCACGCGGACCCUCGCCUCCUCGCCGCUCCCCCGCAGCUCCCGCCGUAGCCGCGUGCGCGUGGCCGUGGCGCCGGAGCGGCGGAGGAGGGGGUAGGGCAGUGCUCGCCGCGGCGGCCUCGACGGGCAACUACAUGGUGCCACCUUCCUCCAAGACCGUCCGCCUCGUGCUGCAGCUGAUGGCAGUGGCGCAGCGAGUCUCCCACCUCACCACCACCGCUGCUUGCCGCCCGUCCCUCCUUCUGUCUAUGGCGACGGCGACCUCCGGCGUCAGCAGGCUCAGCGCAACGGAGGGCAACAACGACGGCGACGUCGGCCUCCAAAACCCCAUCCCGGCCUCUGUUGGAAUAUGUAGGUUCAGUGAGUUUGGAACCGAUGGAGGACAACCAUUCACCUAGUUCCUAUUUUUUAUGGCUUUUGUUCUGUUUGUUUACAUAUCAAGUCUGUCAUUGCCUUUACCAUGUUUCUUAAAGCCUUUGGUGGUCUCCUUUUCAUCAUCAGCAGCUCGUUCGAAGCGGUCGUACUGAUUUGCUUAUCGUGAAGAUGCUUGCAAGGAUGCAGAGGGAGCGGAUAAUUUGGAGAGAUAGGAUGCCACUAUUUGGUGUUUUUAUGCAUUUUGGUUUGCUUGUAACUGUGUUUGCACUAGCUGGGAGUAAGUGACUUGACAAGAAGUGUAGGUGUUUUAAUUGAAGGCAUGACAAGCCAUGACAAUAUGUAUGCUCUUAUAGGAUAUGCUCUAAUGCCGCUGGUUUAUUAUAAAUCUUGGAUUAGUAAUGAUGUGUAAUGCUGCUGGUUUAUUGCAAUUAUGUGUUUGUUUUA